GUGCUCACUUUGACAGUAUGUACAUUAAAAGUGGAACAAUACAGAAAAGAUCAGCAUGGCCCCUGUGCAAGGAUGACAUGCAAAUUCAUGAAGCAUUCCAUAUUUUU
ensembl:snRNA U6 U6 spliceosomal RNA